UAACCAGCGAUAUAUGCAUAUAAAUUUUCCGCCAAGUUUCCUUGGCAAUUCGACUCGUUAUUUAUUUGAAAAGUUAUGUUUUCAUAAUACGUUAACGUCGCGGUUAAACGUAUUUUCGGACGGUAUAAAAGUUUAAUACUGCAGCUUACCGUGACUAACAUUUAGUUUCUCAGCGUAAAAAUCGCGUUCGUCCGGUCCGUACACCGGUACACCUAUUUUAAACUUUAUUAAAAUCGCUUUCCGGACACGUUUACGAGCGCGAUACAGAGACGUAUUUAUAAAAUACCUAGGUCGUAGGUCGUAGGUUAGGUUUAGGGGAUUAGGAUUAUAAAAACAAUAUUAUACACUGCAGACGGGUUUAUCGUGCGCGCAUUGCGGUCAAUAACGUUUACACUGCUCGAGUGUUGUUCCCUGCGAAAAAUUUAUUAUAUUACCGCAGUUUCUACCGUAAUUGUAUUGUUAUACUAUUAUUUUUACGCGUGUUGGGUCGGAUUAGUUUUAUUUUACGUGCCGGAAUUACGGUUUUGCCGGACAUUCGGGUUGUCACAGCGGUGUUUUGUCUUUUUUUUUUUUUUAACGAGCAAUAUACAGCAGAAAAUCACGUAACCAAGCGAAAAGAUCUUUAAAAUCGGUUUUAACGCUAAAACGCCCGUUAUAAAAAUCCGCAUAGACGACGAAACAUUUUGAAGAAAAUCUCUUUAACGUUUUUACAUUAUUCUCUAAAUACUCAAAGGCACUUAAAAUCGUUUUUGACGUUGGUUUUUUUUUUUUAUUGAAGAACUAACUUUUUUUAAUAAUUCGUUUUUUAAGAACGAUUUAAAGAGAUAUCUCGUGUCUAAAACCUAGUCGGUUCCAGCGUACUUAUAGGAGUAGACCCUGAAAAAUCGCAUAAAAUACAGUUUUUACCGCGUGGCGACUCAAAAUAUAAUAUAUCGAAUCAAUUCGUAAUAAAAUGCACAGUUUGGUUGAAAAAUAAAAUUGUUCAUCAUUUUCGAAUCAUUUGGAGUUUGAUAACGUUUUUGUAUAAUCGGUAUUUACACUGUCAAAAUUUUCGCAUUUUUUUCCUCGCUCCUUUCCCGCCGGACCUUAUACUCGUAUAUAGAAGUAUAUUCGCCAAAAAUUUGCUAGUAAGUUGGUCGAAAAUGAAUUUUUCGAUCGAGAAUUUCGCAAAUAUAUCGUUAUAAUAUUAUAUAGUGCGCACUAUGUGCGAACAAGCGAAAAACUCGUUAAAAAAAAAAAAAAAUUGAGGCGGCCAAAAGGGCUUAGGGUCUUUUAGUUUGUGUUUUUGUGGACACGUUUUUGCUACACAUUGUCCGCGAGAAAAACAGAGUCGGCAUGCGAUUAUAAUAUGACGUUGUGUGACGCGAAUGCUGGACUACGGAUUAUUGAGACGUCACGUAUACGUAGGCCCUUGUGAAUAAUUCACUCGUAAUUAAAUGCAAAUCAUUUUCAUCAUACACAAGUGCAUGUUAUGUACGCUUAACGUCACUAUAACUAAACGCAUUAUUAUAAUGCUGUUCGUUUUCUAAUUUAAAACUGAAAUAUUGUUUUCGACGCGCUGAUGUAAUUCCGUAUUAUUACACUCUUGUUUAUGUGUCCGAUAACACAUUUUUUCAUAUUUUUUCUGAUCGCACCGAUAACAGACCGCGUAAACCAUGAUACGAACAUAUUUUAUUGUAUAAUAUUUUACAAACCUGAAUAAGUAUUUUAAUAUUGAACGGUUUUUUUUAAAUUUUUUUAAUAUCUAACAUAAACUCAUAAUUCGUUUAAAGUUACUCCGGAAUUAAAAAAAAAUACCCGAGUGAUGAAAUAUUAUAGAUAUGUUUAAUUCAAUAUACAGGUGCUUACUAGCCGUAAACGUUUCCAAUCGGUUUCUCGGCUAAUAUAAAUCGAUUAUAAUACAUCAUAUAGGUUAUUAUGUAGGGUAUCGCAAGACUAACUGCGCUAAUGUGCAGUUCUACACAAAAUUCGAAUGUCGAAAGGAAUUAUACUGUGCAGAUCUUAAGAAAAAAAAGAAAGAAAAACAAUUUACGAAUUAUCGGUAUAUUAUCUUCGGUGUCGAUAUAGUCGCAGAGAAAUCAGGCUAAAAAGCAUUUAAAAGUACCUAUUCCUAAUAACGCUAUCGCCGUACCACGUUUUCUUGAAACUCCAUAUAAAAAUAACCGAUUUAAAAACGGCGUACAUGUCCGGAGCCAUUUGAAAUUUUUUCAAAAUUAAAUUUUGUUCGACAAUAUAACAAAACUUCGUUCAUAAAUCUCUCACUGAGUCUGUUUUCCAGCUAUACACAGCUGAAAACUGACGAUGUGCACAUCUAGCAUUUUCUUAGCGCAGACUCGGCGCGCCGGUCCGCAUGGUACCGUCCGUAAUAUCAAAUGCAAGACGCGCGCGAAAUUAAAAUUUAAGAUUAGGUUACGCGAGAGCGUCGGAGUUAGACAUUUUCUUCCGUUGAAAUGAAAAACACGUCCUGUGCUACUGCCGCAGUCAUGUUGUUGUGCGUAUUUUUGUUUUGAACCGGUUUUAAUUUAUUCCGCUCGGCUAUCAAGGUAGUUCACUUUUUGUUUUAAUAUCAAUUGAUAAUAAUAACAGGUACAUAGGUGUGUGUUUCAAAAUACCCCGAAACUCGCGCAGCAUUUAGGGCAUGUUAAAAUGUUGAAUUCGUGUAGCCCGUAGGUGUACUCCACUAUACCAAUUUGGAUAGAUACAGGCAAUAGGCAUUUAUCAAGUAAACGAUUUUCGGACUUUAAGCCUAUUACUAGGGUUCGGAUGCUCGUGCACUUAAAAUAUGUAACUGUAAUAUUAAUAUAUAUGCAUUAUGCACUAAAAAAUUAUCCAAUAUGUUAUAUAUAAUAUACAAUUACCGAAAAUCAUAAAACAUGCAUUUUCAGUUUAAAAAAUAAAACGUCGAAACAUGUACAGAAAAAUAUAUUCUACCUCGAGUAUUUAAUUUUUAUUAGUAUUUUUUCAAUAUUUCAUAUUUAUUUACAACCGAAGCGUUACAAUGUGAUACAAUGGUUUUUAUAAUUUGUUCAAGUUUCGUGCUUUUUUACCUUUAAAGGCCGUUAUUGAUUGAAAUCGUUUUCAAAAACGUUCGGAAAUACGCAUUUAUAUUUAUGAAACCCCAAAGUGUGCAUUUAAAAUACACAACCGCGAUACGUGCAAAUUAAAAUUAGUAUGAUUUGAUUCGGUAGAACGUGAAUUCUGAUCGAGAAAGAAUUAAGAAAAAAAAAAAAAAAAAAACGAAAAACGAACGCUAUAUUAAACUACUGUACCACUGUGCAUUGCAUAAUAACCGUUUUGUUGGUUGGGUCAUGAAUGAGGUUAAUUGUGGAUGCUGGAUAGGCACGGCCAACGCGCGCUGCUGUUUUUAAAGACCGCUCGCGGUAUACCUGUAAUACUGCAUUUAUAUACUACCUAUAUAUUGUACGUGUACAUUAUUAUCAUUGUCAAUAUUAUUGCGACGUGACUUGUGUGCGUGCGCUUGUUUGUACCUAACUAUACGUACAGAAGUACCUGAAACCAGAGAGAGGUAACUCGGGCAACCGGUUUUUAUCGGCAAAUAGAAAAUAUAAAUUUCUAAAAAAAAAAAAAAAAAAAAAAAACAAAAACCAUUAUUUUACCAACGACCGUUCUAUCUUAUCGGUCUUAAAUAAUAUUUUUGCGCGGAUAAAACACGAAUGAAAACUGACACCGCGCGUGAUUUGCUAUCUAUACCGGGUCGCUAUAUAAUACAAUAUUAAUUCGUUAUAACUGCGAUUCCAAAACGAAUAUUGUUCCGUUACGAUCAUAACAAUAUUGCUAGGCGUAAUAUUUUAUACCUGUUCGUUUAUUUUCCGGUGGAAAAGCCUUUAGAUUUCGGGUGUACGAUAAAGAAAUAUCUCUUGGCAUUUUACGGUCGGAGCAAGAUUUUCGUUGUAGAAGUGUUGUAAACGGACAAAACAAAAACUUAGUAAUUUAGAAUCUAAAAAUAGUUUUUACAUUACACAACUUAUCGUUCCGAUUGAUUAGAUAGAAAUUCUGGAAGGUAGGACAGUAUCACUAUAAUAUUGAAAAAAUAACCCCGAACAGUUCACGUAUACCAUAAUUUUGUAUUACAUAAUAAUAUAAUAAUAUAAUGUUAAUUUGGGAUAGUAAUUUUGUAUAAAAUCCGAAGUGUAUUUUCUCGGUUACUUCCGUAGCCUGGUCAUUUACGUCAAAUUUGGUUUUUGUCCAUUUAUAUAUUUUUAUAUUCCGAGUCCAGCGAGGGAGUUAAUGGUUUUACUGAGAUGAUUUUUUCUUCUUCUUUUAGCCCGUGGACACGUUUUUUCCUAUUAAACUUGCUCCAAUUUGUACGUGUAUCAACUUUUCUGAAAUCUCAAGUUUCCGUUAAUGUACUACAGAGAUUAUUUUUUAAUUUUUUAAACAAAAGCACUUAAGUGAGAAAACGUACAAUUUCACGAUUUCAGUAUUUUAUAAAAACACGGACGACGUUUUCUAUCAGAAAAAAAUGAUUUAAUUGAAAACCUUUAAUUGAUUGACAUCAAUUUUGUUACCUUUUUGAUUUAAUUUCUAACGGUAUCAUUACCAAUACUUUUAAGCAUUUUUUGAGUAUUAAAGGAGUUUUAACUUUUUGUAGUUUUUUUACUGUAAUUCGGUUAUAAAUACACGUAGAGACUUGAAACUUGGUAAUAAUACUGAAAUCGGACUUGCCCAGACGUGGUAAAAUUUUCAAAAUCAUCGGAAGACAUUUUUUUUUAAUAAACGUUUUGAAAUCAAACUUAAUCGAAAAUCGCAAAUAAAAUUACGGCACUUCAAAUUAUGUAUUACCAAACUGCGCUGGGAAUCGUCUUUCGUCAAGCAAUGGUUUAUCGUUUUAUUAAUUUGGUCGUCCUUUCGACUUAAUUCGUUAUUUUUAUGAAUGGGUUGAUAAAUUUUCAAAUUCGUUUUUUUUUUGAUAUGAAUAAGUCAUAAGUAAGCGCAUUGUCCGAAAAGUUAUGAUAUGUUAAUUCGCCUCAUUUAAAACAUUAUCGAUUAAUUAAUAUAUUCAAAUAUUAUAAUCGUCUUUAAUACUCAUGCAGUAGUAUUGCCGAAAAUAUCGGAUGAGUAAGGUGGGCAAAUGCCACAGACCCACAAUAAUUGAAUUUAAUUUUCAAUUUAAAAUUUAAAACAAUAAUUGAAGGCCCUAACAGUGACCUAAACCAGGAAAUUUUUUGACAGGUUAGCGUAUGUGCAUGUGUAUCACUGAUUUGAUAACUAUGUGUAAUGCAAUUUGGUUUUCAAUGUUUUAAUUGUUUAAUAAGUUUGUUGUUCUGGUUUAAUCGAUACUAUUUUUAAAUAUUUCCACACGAUGUUUUAACACGAUUUCACAAUUUAUUCGAGGUUAUUCGCAUAAAAAAAAAAGAAAAAAAAAAGAAAUACAAAUAACAAUUACAAAAUAAAACGACUGUCCUAUACUUACCUUUCGUGUGUAAUUUGCCGUCAAUCAAUAGGUGCUGAGGAUGAAAUAACCAUUAGAGUAUUUUUAUUUCGCCGGGUGUUUCGCGAGUCGAACAAAAUAUUACCCAUCUCUGUAACGCAGAUAGAAAUUAUAUUAUCUCGUUUCGAAAAUUGGACGCGAUUCUCACUUUAGACAAAAUAUAAUGUUUUGUAGGCGGAAGCACUAACUAGAAGACCGUAAAAGAACGUUUAUUAAUCAACUUCUCGGUAUUUUUUUUUUUUUUACGAAAUUGGUAAUCCGUCUGUUAUAUAUUAUAUAAUAAAGUCGGUAGAUGAAAUUUUUUAUCCAUGACCCCGUCUUUUCGGUUACGAGGGGAUACGUAUCGUUGUAAAACUAAUUUGCUGUAUUAAUACCGCGAACAAACAUCCGAGGAAACGUAUACUUGCUUACAAAACUUUUAUAUAAAAACAGAAAAAAAAAAAAAACAAAACAAAAAACAAAAUAAUACGAAGAUUACUCGAACGAAAAGAAAAAAAAAACCACUAAUUUCUACACGGCAAAAAUAUAAUUAAAGACGACUUUCGUAUUCCGCACGUAUAUUAUAUUUUUCGGCGCUGUUUAUUAAAUCUUCCCUCCACACUUACACCGGAGGAUCUCAUAAAACGCGAGCGUGUGUACACACGUGACUUAAAUACCAAACGGAAAACGUUUCGCGUGCACGUGCGGUGUGGGUUCGCCGCACUAUUAUUAUAUUGUAUUGGAUUUCCCACGUGUAGACGCGGGUAGUUUGUGAAAAUUGAAAGCCACGCGAAACUAAUCAAAAAAUUUAUCGUCCCGAAUUACGGACGCGGUUUCGUAUACGCGCGGUCGGUGAGUUUUCGCGAGCCGCUUUAUCGCGAGCCGCUUUAUCGCGCGCCGACAAGCCGCGAACACGUCCGCGCGAACUUACACGCUUACGCGAUAUUAAUAAAAACGCCGAUCUCCUUAUACCUGCGCGAUAAAAGUAUACGACGGCACCGCCUGCGAAUUCCCGUUCCCGCGCCGCUGACAAUCUCCGAUUCCUCGCAAUAAGAUUUAUCGUUUUGCGCCUGCCGUCGUCCGCGUGUACAUAAUACGAUGUUUUAUCAUCACCGCCGCAGCAGUAACCGGCCGCGAUCCCCGGCGUUUCGACCGACGCAAAAAUGAAAUCCGCCGCGUUCCGCUCGCCUGGUACAGUCACCAACACCCGCGGGGCAGUGGCGCAAUGACGCGGAGGGGGCGAAUCGGCGACCGAUCCAUCAGCGGUGAUGUUGCACUUAAAUGUCGUCUUAACGCCGUUUCCGUUUUAACCUCCGCGGUGAUUAAUCGUCCGGGAUAUGGGAUGAAGCGAGGUUGGGUUAUUGAGCAGUGCCGUUCGGAGCUAAAUUUUCUAUGGAGUUUUGGGUAAGGCCGGUUUCGGCGGUCCGGCCAACAUAAUUGAUUUGAUAGCCGGAGUGAAGAAGUCCGUUAGUUUACAUGCCGGUUUUAAGUUGCCGUUGUCAACUACUGUCACCGGUGACCGGUGAAAUUGAUAUACGAGAUGUGUUAUAGACGCCGACCGCCCAAACCCUUUUUUCGUUGACGCCUCAAUAGUCUGCCAACUGCAUACACGUCCGUUUGGAUUGUAAAAUUUUGAAAUAUGAUUCACGCGUUUUACAAUAAUUUAUGAACAGUUUAGCGUAAUUAGCGAUCGGUGAUUAAAUGUAAUUUAAAGAAAAGACAAUCAAACGCCAUCCAUUAUUUUUUCCCGAACAAACGGUUUUCCCAUACGUAUACGCGAUAUAAAAACAAAACGCCGUGGCUUAAGACUUUUAGCACGGAGCUAAAAAUAAUGGAGCUUUUCGUAAUUAUUCUUGUAUAUCGCCUACGGGCGCGAGGGAGUGGUGUGUGUGGAACAGCUUGAUUUUGGAAAUUGCGUUCCGGGCGGUGUUCCGAAACAGGACCCGACGGAGGAAAGACAUUGUCGAGAAUGGCCGCGGACGAGACGGAAAGGG